CAACCUAUUCAGCGAUGAAUAGCUGAACUGUUAGAAGUCAGCAGAGGUCAUAGUA
rfam:Caloramator quimbayensis strain TSBA 833 genome assembly, contig: Ga0105845_114